rnacentral:rRNA from 1 species
UACAGAGGGUGCAAGCGUUAAUCGGAUUUACUGGGCGCAAAGGGCGCGUAGGUGGUUAUGUCAGUAAGAUGUGAAAGCCCCGGGCUUAACCUGGGAACUGCGUCUUAAACUGCAUAGCUGGAGUACAAUAGAGGGUAGUGGAAUUUCCGGUGUAGCGGUGAAAUGCGUAGAUAUCGGAAGGAACACCAGUGGCGAAGGCGGCUACCUGGAUUGAUACUGACACUGAGGCGCGAAAGCGUGGGGAGCAAACAGG